rnacentral:rRNA from 1 species
UACGAAGGGGGCUAGCGUUGUUCGGAAUUACUGGGCGUAAAGCGCACGUAGGCGGAUAUUUAAGUCAGGGGUGAAAUCCCGGGGCUCAACCCCGGAACUGCCUUUGAUACUGGGUAUCUCGAGUCCGAGAGAGGUGAGUGGAAUUCCGAGUGUAGAGGUGAAAUUCGUAGAUAUUCGGAGGAACACCAGUGGCGAAGGCGGCUCACUGGCUCACAACUGACGCUGAUGCGCGAAAGCUAGGGGAGCAAACAGG